AACUUUUCUCCUUUGCCUUCCCAACACAGCCUCAACGCGAAUUCUCCAGUACCCUAGUAAGAUAGAACGCGCCUCACGCGCGGGAAAAAAACAGAGAGAUUGAGAGCGCUCUCUCCCGGCCGAUCGUUGGCGGCGCCCCUGCUGCUGCGUUCCGGUCCGGGAGGGGAUGAUUACGGAGGUUAGCGGCGUGGCUCUAGGGCGGCGGUCUGGCUCAGGGAUGGGUAUUGGCGGCUGCUGCUUGGAUCGGGGCGGAGUUACCAGAUCUGGGUCCGUUCUUCAUGGGAGCUGGUUUGGUCUUCCCGGCGUGUUGCGAUUUGCCGGCAGGGUUCGAUUUGCUGGUUGUUGAGGGUGUCUCGGCUUUGGACGGUGGAGUGGCAGUGGCCGGAUUCUAGAUCUCUUGGAGGUGUCGAGCCCAGUGUGGCUCCGAUUCUUCUCGGGUUUCGAUCUGGGAUGCCGGCCAUCUUCUGGUGUGGUUGGCUUUGUCUUGUGUCGGUGCGGUGGCGUUGGGAUACACAGCCUCAACGCAAACACAAAAUCCCUUCUCCAUAGCUGAAAUCUCGUCUUCUCAUCACCACCUAGAACCCAUACCAGGUUCACAUCAGUAGAUCUUUCGCUAUCACAUCAGUAGAUCAUACCAGGUUCACAUCCGAGCAGAAGCUUCAUUGUUUUUCUCAAGUCUCUAAUUUGAGAGGUGAUUAAUGUUUCAUCACCCAACACCCCCGGGCUACGUAUGCUUCAAGGAAGAAAGCAGUUAAAGGUCCUUGUGAAGAAGGUACAAGCUGCUCGUGAUGAAAUGCAAUGGGGUGAAGAGGGCCCUCCUCCAUUGCUCGUGAAAAUUGCUCCAGAUUUGUCUAAAGAAGAUCUCGAAGAUAUUGCUGCAGUGGCCCUUGCCCUUCGCUUGGACGGAUUGAUUAUAUCAAACACAACUGUUUCAAGACCAGACAGAAGACUCUGUUAGUAGAAACCCAGUGGCCUCUGAAGCUGGUGGCUUGAGUGGGAAACCACUAUUUGAUACCUCUACCAGACUCUUAAAGGAUAUGUACCUGUUGACAAGGGUGGCAGGGUUGCUUCAUUUCUUCUGAGGUUGCUGCAUUGGCUUUGAGGGAAUGAAAGAUCUAAAGCUUGAUAGAAACAUAAAGACACACGGCCCUUCUUCAUUAAUGAGUUAAAGUAGAAGACAUUCAUGGACCCUCAUGAUGAAUAUGAUCUGAUGGAACUUGUAUAGUUGUUAUUAGAUUGGAUUGUAAUUUCUAGUUUAGUAAACUUAUGAAAAUGAAUGUGCUCAUAUUUUAGCUAUUAAUUUAUAAUGGUUCGUAAUCAUUUAUGUAAA